AUGUCAUACAGAAAUCAUCAUUUGAUAAUAUAUAGAGCUAAAAACAAAAGUUACUUCAGAUCCAUUAUAUAUAGAGCUAAGAACAAGAGUUACCCCAGAUCCAUUAUCAUCAUUUUCUGUUUCAACCUGUUGGUAAUAUAUAGAGCUAAGAACAAAAUUUACCUCAGAUCCAUUAUCAUCAUUUUCUUCGCAAAACCCUAA